UUACGGCAAUAUCACGUGGAAACACUAGUUACCGUACGAUCACUGAAAUUAAGCAACGUCGAACCUGGUCAGUACCGAGAUGAGUGACCGCUUCGGAAUACAAGGUGCUGUAAG